AAUGAACGCUGGCGGCAUGCCUUACACAUGCAAGUCGAACGGUAACGCGGGGCAACCUGGCGACGAGUGGCGAACGGGUGAGUAAUACAUCGGAACGUGCCCAGUAGUGGGGGAUAGCCCGGCGAAAGCCGGAUUAAUACCGCAUACGACCUACGGGUGAAAGCAGGGGAUCGCAAGACCUUGCGCUAUUGGAGCGGCCGAUGUCAGAUUAGGUUGUUGGUGGGGUAAAAGCCUACCAAGCCGACGAUCUGUAGCUGGUCUGAGAGGACGACCAGCCACACUGGGACUGAGACGCGGCCCAGACUCCUACGGGAGGCAGCAGUGGGGAAUUUUGGACAAUGGGGGCAACCCUGAUCCAGCCAUUCCGCGUGAGUGAAGAAGGCCUCGGUUGUAAGCUCUUUCUAGCAGGAACGAAACGGU
rnacentral:rRNA from 1 species